GCCAGCAGCCAUAUCACCCUGCAAAUCACAACUGGCAACCCACUGAAGCAAAGCAGGUGUGAGCCCGGUCAGUACCUGGAUGGGAGACCUCCUGGGAAAAGUGUUAGUGGGGCUGCACAUU
rnacentral:rRNA from 1 species